AAGACUAUGCUUUCAGGGAUCAUUUCUAUAGUCCGUUACUAGAGAAGUUUCUCUGACUGUGUAGAGUACCAGAAACGAUGAGGAGCAGACGCAGCAUCCUCUCCUGAGCGUGAAGCUGGCCCUUGAUGUUGCUUCCCUGCAACUGCCACCUGCCACUGAUGAGGAUGCAGUCUGAGUGU
rnacentral:snoRNA from 1 species